rnacentral:lncRNA from 1 species
UAGAUUUAACACCUUUUAUCAAUAAUAAUCAUUUCAUGAACGGCUUCUACUAAACACCUAAAGGCUAAAACUAUUUCAUUGAAGUUAACAUAGCACAUGAUUUUUAUAUAUAAAGUGAUGAAACAGUUUCCAAUUUAUAAGAUGCAAAGAAGAAAAAAUAUGGCUCGAAUCCUAAGUUCAUUUUAUGCUUUGAUCAUGUUUGUUUUCUUAAUUCUUGUUAAUGGUGAAGAACGUGAGUAAUUUUUCAUGCCAUUUUAAAAAUCUAAUUUAUUUUUACCUUUUAGUAACAUUUAUUUUGUUUAUAUAUUAUUAACAUUGCAGGUAUUCCCUGCCUCUGGAGCCUUGAGUGUCCAAAAGAUAUGUGUCCCACUAAAUAUAUUCCUAAGUGCAUUAAUCUUUCUUGUCAAUGCCAUUUUGAAAAAUAAGUAUGCUAUUGCCAAUCGUAUAAUUUAUUUGUAACUCAUAAUAUUUGUACUCUUAUAACUUCCCUAAUAAUUUUAUUUAUGUUUCUUUGACCUCUCAAUUUUAUUGACAGUGUCAAAUGCGCAUUGAAUAUUAACAACUGUUUUAAUUCAUGCGUCUAUAGAAUAAAUGGAUAACAUAUGUAAUAUACUACUUCAAUAAAUAAAUAAAUAAAAUAUAUGAUUGUGUAAUUGAAUUAUUUCUUGUUAUGUAUUUCACAUAACAUUGUUGAUUGAGAUAAACCAAAUAAAUAUUAGUAUGUAUUUACAUAUCAUUGAAAAGAUCUAUUAAUUUGAUUUAAUUAAAACAAAUUUAUCCUCGUC